AGUCUCUACCCCUCUCCACGAGCUUCUUGUCGACGACCGCGGCACAACCACCACUCGGGGAACCCAACCGUGUGCCCUCUCUCGCACACACCCUCGAAUGAUUUUAUUUUCUUUCCACCUUACUUUUACCGCGUUCGCUCACUCUCCUCACUCAAGAAUCCCCGAGGAAAUUCGCGACCAAAACAUCCGAGACGAGGUACUCCCUGCAGCCAACAUGUCGUCUGCUAGGCCCACCAGCGCGGCGGCUCACCGCGCUUGAGAUGGAUCAGAUUCACUUCGGACUCGGGGGCCAACAAUCUGUCUUGUGAAGUGUUAAUGCAUUGACUCUAGCGCUAUCUGUAACAUCUAUUGGAACUAAAUCGUUAUACUGCGAUAUAUUCAUAUGUAACACACAUGUACAUUUCGAUGUUUUCAUGUACGUUUAGUUUUAUAGUAUGACAAGUGCGCUGUGAUCAAUCCAUUUAUGUGUGUAUAUAUAUUAUAUGUAAAUAUUCAUAUGUACUAAAUAAUAUAAUUACCGAUUAAAUUAUAAGUAUUCAAAUUUUAUAAUUUUUUUUUAUAGAAUUAAUAUCAAGAUAAAAAUAAAUGAAUAUAAUAUAAAUAUAAAA